rnacentral:rRNA from 1 species
CACGUAGGGUGCGAGCGUUGUCCGGAAUUAUUGGGCGUAAAGAGCUCGUAGGCGGUGUGUCGCGUCGGCCGUGAAAACCUGCAGCUUAACUGUGGGCGUGCGGUCGAUACGGGCAUCACUGGAGUUCGGCAGGGGAGACUGGAAUUCCUGGUGUAGCGGUGAAAGUGCGCAGAUAUCAGGAGGAACACCGGUGGCGAAGGCGGAUCUCUGGGCCAUUACUGACGCUGAGGAGCGAAAGCCAGGGGAGCAAACGGG